CAAUUAACAAUCAAUUCAGAACUGGCACGGACUUGGGGAAUCCGACUGUUUAAUUAAAACAAAGCAUUGUGAUGGCCCUAGCGGGUGUUGACACAAUGUGAUUUCUGCCCAGUGCUCUGAAUGUCAAAGUGAAGAAAUUCAAGUAAGCGCGGGUCAACGGCGGGAGUAACUAUGACUCUCUUAAGGUAGCCAAAUGCCUCGUCAUCUAAUUAGUGACGCGCAUGAAUGGAUUAACGAGAUUCCUACUGUCCCUAUCUACUAUCUAGCGAAACCACAGCCAAGGGAACGGGCUUGGAAUAAUUAGCGGGGAAAGAAGACCCUUUUGAGCUUGACUCUAAUCUGGCAGUGUAAGGAGACAUAAGAGGUGUAGAAUAAGUGGGAGAUAUUAGACCUCGGUUUGGUAUCGUCAAUGAAAUACCACUACUCUUAUUGUUUCCUUACUUACUUGAUUAAAUGGAACGUGUAUCAUUUCCUAGCCAUUAUACGGAUAUAUUUAUUAUAUCUUAUGGUAUUGGGUUUUGAUGCAAGCUUCUUGAUCAAAGUAUCACGAGUUUGUUAUAUAAUCGCAAACAAAUUCUUUAAUAAAACGAUGCAUUUAUGUAUUUUUGAUUUGAAAAUUUGGUAUAACUCCAAUUACUCAGGUAUGAUCCAAUUCAAGGACAUUGCCAGGUAGGGAGUUUGACUGGGGCGGUACAUCUCUCAAAUAAUAACGGAGGUGUCCCAAGGCCAGCUCAGUGCGGACAGAAACCACACAUAGAGCAAAAGGGCAAAUGCUGACUUGAUCUCGGUGUUCAGUACACACAGGGACAGCAAAAGCUCGGCCUAUCGAUCCUUUUGGUUUAAAGAGUUUUAACAAGAGGGAAUCCACCAC
rnacentral:ncRNA from 1 species